AUGUAUCCCUUUUGCUUUUCAGUGUGUUCUCAGAAACAACCAGCCUUGAAGGCUACAAGUGACAAGAAAGAUUCUGUUUCGAAUAUAGCCACAGAAAUAAAUGAUGGACAAAAAUCUGGGACAGUGUCUUCUCAGAAACAACCGGCCUUGAAGGAUACAAAUGACAAGAAAGACUCUGUUUCGAACAUAGCCACAGAACUAAAAGAUGAACAAAAAUCUGGGACAGUGCUUCCUGCUGUUGAACAGUGUUUAAACAGGAGUCUCUACAGACCGGAUGCUGUUGCACAGCCUGUGACAGAGGAUGAGUUUGCUUUGGAAUCUGCAGACUAUUUCAAAACUAUACAUCCCAGAGAGAAGGAUUAUUUCUCUAUGAUUGAUAGAAGAUGGUAAGCUAUUUGAAGCCUGCCUAUUGCAGUAUUUACUGAUUCUUCAUUUGUUUUUGUUUUUUUUAUCUUUUUCAAACACAGUCUUACUAGUCCGCAGCCCAGGCUGGAGUGCAGUGGUGCAAUCUUGGCUCACUGCAGCUUCCACCUCCUGGGUUCAAGUGAUUCUCCUGCCUCAGCCUCCCGACUAGCUGGGAUUACAGGUACACACCACCACACCUGGCUAAUUUUUGUAUUUUUAGUAGAGGUGGAGUUUCACGAUGUUGUCCAGGCUGGUCUCAAACUUUUGACCUCAAGUGAUUCCCCUGCCUAGGCCUCUCGAACUGCUAGGAUUACAGGCGUGACCCACCACACCAGGCCUUGUUGAUUAUUAUUAUUUUUUUAUAAGGAUAGAGUCUUGCUAUGUUGCCCAGGCUGGUCUCAAAUUCCUGGGCUUCUCAAGUUAUACUUCUGCCUCAGCCUUCUGAGUAGCUGGGAUUAUAGGAACAAGCCACUGUGCUCUUUUAUGUUUUUAGUAUUCUAUAGUUUUCUAUUGUUGAUUUAAAAUGCAUUUUACUUUUUCUUUCAUAGUGCUGCCUCCUGUUGAAGAUUGUUUUGACAGGUAUGAUUUCACAGAUUUUUUAAUGUGAUAUGUUAACUAAGUGAAUAGAGAGAAUAGAAACUAGUAUCUGUUUAGUGUUCUACUCUGUGCUAGACACCAUAUUACAUGCUUAACAUUUAUCAUGUCAUGUCAUCUUCACACAACUUUACAAACUAUUUGUGCUAUUAUUGCUUUUUUACUAAUUAGGCAACUCUGCUUUAAAGAGGUUGAAAUAUGGGCUCAUGAUUCCACAGUUAACAGGUAGCCAACCCAAGAUUAGACCAUCAUCCUGCCUGGCUCUCAAAUCACUUCAUUUGCCCCUAAGCAUAGAUGGAUAGAGGCCUAUGCAGCAAUGGGAUCACGGUACUGAUUUACAUCGGAUCAAUUCAGAAAGUCACAUUUUGUUAUAUAUUAACUGUCUUUAGAGUGUUAUUUAGAAGCCUGGCUACUCCAAAAGUUUGUCCAAAUAUUUUGAAAGGGCAGUGGCAACCAUAUUACUUUUUUUUUAACCAUCAAAGUUUUAAAGGCAGUUAUCAGUUAUCUGUGGCCACAGGACCCUAAGUUUUUCAUAAGCAAGACCAGGCCAUUCCUAGAAAAAUAUUAUCUUACUGUGCUUGGAGAAUAUCUACAUAUAGUCCAUGUUAUGUUAACUAUAUUUAGCAUAUAUUAAAAGGAUAUUUCUAAUUCAUUUCUCUACUUACUGCCUACCCAGUUAGGUUUUCUCUUUAAGUGAGUACCCUGCCUCGUUCGCUGAAGCUUUUUCUUAUUUUCCGGAUACUUUUUUUUCCUUCUGUGACACUUUUAAUAAUAUUUUCUUGAUUUCUUUUUACUUUCUCCUCUGCUUUUUUUAGGGUUUAUGAUCUUCUAUUAUAGUUUUCAUUUAAGGCAGCUAAAUAUUCCCCAUUUUCCUGUAGACAAAAUCAGAGGUGCAUAGAAUUUCAGAAUGUUAAGAAAUCCUAGAGACUAAACAAAAUAUCUUCUAGUACUUGAAUCCUUGCUUAACAUCCUGAUCAAGUGGUUGUUCAGGUGGAGAAUCUGAAACUCAAAGACAGAAAAUUAUUUGGAUACAGUAAAUCAGAGAAAUGAGAAUUGCACUCAGGUUUCUUAGUUCAAAACCCAGUCUUCUUUUACAUCAUUCUGUCAUUGAGUGAUUUUAGUUUUAGAAAGAGGGAGUGGCUCUAGUGAAUACAGUGGAAAAGGAUGAGAAUGGAAUAAUGAGCUGUUGAACCCAAUGAAAGUGGAUAAGAAUGGAAUUUGCAGGGGACAGACAAAUUUGAAGAUGUAGAUUGGAGAUUGCCAUGGAUCCCUGCAGAAGAGGGAUCCAGAAGUGGGAGCCCAUAGGAAGGAAGAUAUUUAGACAGUGAUGAAUGAAAUUAAGCUGUAAGUACUCAGGAGGGAGACUUUACCAGCAGUCUGUCUCUUGAGUAUCUGAGUGUCUAUGAAGGUUCUUAAGCUUGCUGGUUUUUGUGGACCUGAAUAAGGCAGGAUCUAUAUAAUGACAAUAAUUGGAUUUUAUAAUUUUUAAUGUUUUAAUCUUCUGUGAAGAAUAUUCCCAAAGUACAUUUGUACUUUGACUUUUUUUACACUCAGCUUUCAAACAUUUGCAGUGUUUCAGGGGGCUCCCUGUAGAGUUCUAGAGUAAAGAGAAUCAAUGGGCAAUCUAAGUAGCUUACAUGCUGAAGAUCCAAGACUCCCAUUUUCCCGUGACACAGAUUAGUCUUUGAAUCAGAAAUAGAUAAUGCAGAAGACACAGUGCCUUUUCUACCUUGUUUUAGGUUAUCAGGUUUACUGCAGUUCAGUAACAAAAGUUGUGUCAGAUAUCAAUUGGAUUUUCAGUUUAGUCUUUAGGGUAGAUAAUUUAUAAAGACAAAUUAUUGUCUG
rnacentral:lncRNA from 1 species